rnacentral:rRNA from 1 species
CAAUAGCGUAUAUUAACGUUGUUGCAGUUAAAAAGCUCGUAGUUGGAUUUCUGGAGGGAGCGUCGGCCCGUAUUUACGAGUGCGUGACGUCUCUGUCCAUCCUUGCGGGAAGGCACGGCAUUGAUUUGUUAUGUCGGAUCGCAUCAUUUACUGUGAAAAAAUUAGAGUGUUCAAAGCAGGCUUUCGCUUGAAUACAUUAGCAUGGAAUAAUAAGAUAGGACUUUGGUGCUAUUUUGUUGGUUGAGCCUAAAGUAAUGAUUAAUAGGGAUAGUUGGGGGCACCUGUAUUGCGUUGUCAGAGGUGAAAUUCUUGGAUUUACGCAAGACAAACAGCUGCGAAAGCGUCUGCCAAGGAUGUUUUCAUUAA